AUGCUUCUCCUCCGCCCGCUCCCGCUCACGCUCCCUGCCCCGGCCCUGCGGGCCAGGCCCGCGGCCCUGGGGCCGCGGCCUCGGAGGCGCCCGCCGCGUCCUCGCGCCGCCUCCGCCUACGGCGCCGGUGGUGUCUCGGAGGAGGACGCCUUCACCAGGUGCUCGGGGUACCUGUUCGAGGAGGGGCUGGCGACCGAGGGGGACCUCCCCACCGCGUACGACAUCCCCGGCAUCGCUAGAGUGUACGGCCGCCGCCCGCUCCUCGUGCUCCGCCGCUCGCUGCAGAUCGGGACCUCCUUCGGCCGCUGGUUCGCUCUGCGCUACCUCGACAGCCUCAACGACCGCGCCGACGACAUGUUCGAGGUCAGGGCUGCUCAGCUCAGGAGGAUUCUACUGGAGCUUGGCCCGGCAUUUGUGAAGAUCGCACAAGCAGUUUCCUCACGGCCGGAUGUGAUUCCUCCUGCAUACCUCGAUGAACUUUCACUACUUCAAGACCGCAUAGCACCAUUUUCCACUGAGCUUGCUUUCGAUAUUAUAGAAAAGGAGCUUCAGAUGCCACUCGACAUGAUUUUCUCUGAAAUGUCACCAGUGCCUGUUGCUGCUGCAUCUCUUGGGCAGGUUUACCAGGCUAGGUUACGUUCCAAUGGGAAGUUAGUUGCCGUAAAAGUACAAAGGCCUGGAGUCCAAGCCGUAAUUUCCUUGGAUAUCUAUAUCUUGAGGUUCCUCGCUGGUGUUGCCAGGAAGGUUGGCAAGUUCAACACAGACCUUCAGGCUGUCCUUGAUGAAUGGGCGUCAAGUUUAUUUCGGGAGAUGGAUUAUAGAGAAGAAGCGAGAAAUGGACUUAAGUUCAGGGAAUUAUAUGGGAAACUUAGAGAUGUGAUGGUUCCAGAAAUGUAUCUGGAGCAGACGAGAAGACGAGUCCUUAUCAUGGAAUGGGUUGAGGGGGAAAGGUUGUCUGAAGUUAGAGAUCAAUAUCUGGUUGAGGUUGGAGUAUACUGUUCACUUUCCCAGCUUUUGGAAUAUGGAUUUUAUCAUGCAGACCCACAUCCUGGAAAUCUUCUACGCACAGUUGAUGGGAAGCUAGCAUACUUAGAUUUUGGAAUGAUGGGAGAAUUCCGACAAGAACUCCGUGAUGGAUUUAUUGAAGCUUGUCUACAUCUUGUUAACCGGGAUUUUGAUGGUUUAGCAAAAGAUUUUGUUACUCUUGGUUUGCUUCCUGCAACUGCUCAGAAAGAUGAAGUGACAAAGGCAUUGACAGGUGUAUUUGAAAGUGCAGUUAACAAAGGAGUUCAAAAUAUAAGCUUUGGAGAUCUGUCAGGGAAUCUUGGGCAAACAAUGUAUAAAUUCAAGUUCCAGAUACCUUCAUACUUCUCUCUUGUAAUCCGAAGUCUUGCUGUCUUGGAAGGCAUUGCAAUCAGCUUCAAUCCCAACUACAAAGUCUUGAGCAGUUCAUACCCAUGGAUUGCAAGAAAAGUUCUCACUGACAACUCACCUAACCUUCGGUCAACAUUGUACACGCUACUUUAUAAGGAUGGCACUUUCCAGAUUGACCGUUUGGAGUCUUUGUUAACCGAGUCGCUCCGGGCAAGAACAGAGCAGACCUUGGUCAGAACUCAACAAGAUGAAAGUGAUAGUUCAAGAUUUGCAAUUAAACAAGUGCUGUCAUUUACACUCACUGAACAGGGUGCCUUUGUGAAGGAUUUACUUCUUCAGGAGAUUGCUAAGGGACUAGAUGCACUUGGAGUGGCCACAUUAAGUUCUGUAACGUCCGCUGCAGCCUCAAGAUUGCCAUUUGCACCAUCCCCAUCACCAUCACUGAACAACGAGGAGGCCACUAACUUGAGAAACCUCUACCGCCUUCUCCUACUUGUAGCUAAGACUCCUCAAAAGGAAAACUCAUCACGGGCUUCUGGAUAUGAAAGCACUGGGGAGAAAGGAGAUGAUGGCGCAGAUGAUAUGUCUCUUGUGUUAAAUGAGAUGAGGUCUUUUCCAGAGUUUCUGCCAGUUCUUUCUGUCGUUCCUGAGCUUUCACCAGAGUCCCAACAGCAGUUUCUCCUCCUGCCUGCGGAUUUAACUAAUCUUGUUUUAUCUCGUGCUGUUGCAAGAACCAUCAGAAGAAUGUUCAUAUGA
rnacentral:rRNA from 1 species